rnacentral:rRNA from 1 species
AUGAACGCUAGCUACAGGCUUAACACAUGCAAGUCGAGGGGCAGCAGGAUCUAGCAAUAGAUUGCUGGCGACCGGCGCACGGGUGAGUAACACGUAUCCAACCUGCCGAUAACUCGGGGAUAGCCUUUCGAAAGAAAGAUUAAUACCCGAUGGUAUAAUCAGACCGCAUGGUCUUGUUAUUAAAGAAUUUCGGUUAUCGAUGGGGAUGCGUUCCAUUAGGCAGUUGGUGAGGUAACGGCUCACCAAACCUUCGAUGGAUAGGGGUUCUGAGAGGAAGGUCCCCCACAUUGGAACUGAGACACGGUCCAAACUCCUACGGGAGGCAGCAGUGAGGAAUAUUGGUCAAUGGGCGCAGGCCUGAACCAGCCAAGUAGCGUGAAGGAUGACUGCCCUAUGGGUUGUAAACUUCUUUUAUAUGGGAAUAAAGUUUUCCACGUGUGGAAUUUUGUAUGUACCAUAUGAAUAAGGAUCGGCUAACUCCGUGCCAGCAGCCGCGGUAAUACGGAGGAUCCGAGCGUUAUCCGGAUUUAUUGGGUUUAAAGGGAGCGUAGGUGGACAGUUAAGUCAGUUGUGAAAGUUUGCGGCUCAACCGUAAAAUUGCAGUUGAUACUGGCUGUCUUGAGUACAGUAGAGGUGGGCGGAAUUCGUGGUGUAGCGGUGAAAUGCUUAGAUAUCACGAAGAACUCCGAUUGCGAAGGCAGCUCACUGGACUGCAACUGACACUGAUGCUCGAAAGUGUGGGUAUCAAACAGGAUUAGAUACCCUGGUAGUCCACACAGUAAACGAUGAAUACUCGCUGUUUGCGAUAUACAGUAAGCGGCCAAGCGAAAGCAUUAAGUAUUCCACCUGGGGAGUACGCCGGCAACGGUGAAACUCAAAGGAAUUGACGGGGGCCCGCACAAGCGGAGGAACAUGUGGUUUAAUUCGAUGAUACGCGAGGAACCUUACCCGGGCUUAAAUUGCAUUUGAAUAUAUUGGAAACAGUAUAGCCGUAAGGCAAAUGUGAAGGUGCUGCAUGGUUGUCGUCAGCUCGUGCCGUGAGGUGUCGGCUUAAGUGCCAUAACGAGCGCAACCCUUAUCUUUAGUUACUAACAGGUCAUGCUGAGGACUCUAGAGAGACUGCCGUCGUAAGAUGUGAGGAAGGUGGGGAUGACGUCAAAUCAGCACGGCCCUUACGUCCGGGGCUACACACGUGUUACAAUGGGGGGUACAGAAGGCAGCUACCUGGUGACAGGAUGCUAAUCCCAAAAGCCUCUCUCAGUUCGGAUCGAAGUCUGCAACCCGACUUCGUGAAGCUGGAUUCGCUAGUAAUCGCGCAUCAGCCACGGCGCGGUGAAUACGUUCCCGGGCCUUGUACACACCGCCCGUCAAGCCAUGAAAGCCGGGGGUACCUGAAGUACGUAACCGCAAGGAGCGUCCUAGGGUAAAACUGGUAAUUGGGGCU